rnacentral:rRNA from 1 species
UGGGGAAUUUUGGACAAUGGGCGAAAGCCUGAUCCAGCAAUGCCGCGUGUGUGAAGAAGGCCUUCGGGUUGUAAAGCACUUUUGUCCGGAAAGAAAUCCUUGGCUCUAAUACAGUCGGGGGAUGACGGUACCGGAAGAAUAAGCACCGGCUAACUACGUGCCAGCAGCCGCAGUAAUACGUAGGGUGCAAGCGUUAAUCGGAAUUACUGGGCGUAAAGCGUGCGCAGGCGGUUUGCUAAGACCGAUGUGAAAUCCCCGGGCUCAACCUGGGAACUGCAUUGGUGACUGGCAGGCUAGAGUAUGGCAGAGGGGGGUAGAAUUCCACGUGUAGCAGUGAAAUGCGUAGAGAUGUGGAGGAAUACCGAUGGCGAAGGCAGCCCCCUGGGCCAAGUACUGACGCUCAUGCACGAAAGCGUGGGGGAGCAAACAGGAUUAGAUACCCCUGGUAGUCCCACGCCCUAAACGAUGUCAACUAGUUGUUGGGGGAUUCAUUUCCUUAGUAACGUAGCUAACGCGUGAAGUUGACCGCCUGGGGGAGUACGGUCGCAAGAUUAAAACUCAAA